rnacentral:rRNA from 1 species
AAACUGGGAGACUUGAGUGCAGAAGAGGAAAGUGGAAUUCCAUGUGUAGCGCUGAAAUGCGUAGAGAUAUGGAGGAACACCAGUGGCGAAGGCGACUUUCUGGUCUGUAACUGACACUGAGGCGCGAAAGCGUGGGGAGCAAACAGGAUUAGAUACCCUGCUAGUCCACGCCGUAAACGAUGAGUGCUAAGUGUUAGAGGGUUUCCGCCCUUUAGUGCUGAAGUUAACGCAUUAAGCACUCCGCCUGGGGAGUACGGCCGCAAGGCUGAAACUCAAAGGAAUUGACGGGGGCCCGCACAAGCGGUGGAGCAUGUGGUUUAAUUCGAAGCAACGCGAAGAACCUUACCAGGUCUUGACAUCCUCUGACAACCCUAGAGAUAGGGCUUCUCCUUCGGGAGCAGAGUGACAGGUGGUGCAUGGUUGUCGUCAGCUCGUGUCGUGAGUGUUGGGUUAAGUCCCGCAACGAGCGCAACCCUUGAUCUUAGUUGCCAUCAUUAAGUUGGGCACUCUAAGGUGACUGCCGGUGACAAACCGGAGGAAGGUGGGGAUGACGUCAAAUCAUCAUGCCCCUUAUGACCUGGGCUACACACGUGCUACAAUGGACGGUACAAAGAGCUGCAAGACCGCGAGGUGGAGCUAAUCUCAUAAAACCGUUCUCAGUUCGGAUUGUAGGCUGCAACUCGCCUACAUGAAGCUG